GACGAACGCUGGCGGCGUGCUUAACACAUGCAAGUCGAACGGAAAGGCCCUGCUUUUGUGGGGUGCUCGAGUGGCGAGCGGGGGAGUAACACGUGAGUAAAAUGCCCUUGACUGUGGGAUAAAUUCAGGAAAAUGGGGAUAAUACAGGAUAGGAGCUCCUGCUGCAUGGUGGGGGUUGGAAAGUUUCGGCGGUUGGGGAUGGACUCGCGGCUUAUCAGCUUGUUGGUGGGGUAGUGGCUUACCAAGGCUUUGACGGGUAGCCGGCCUGGGAGGGUGACAGGCCACAUUGGCCCACGGAUACGGCCCGGACUCCUACGGCAGGCAGCGGUGGGAAAUAGUGCACAAUGGGCGGAAUCCUGAUGCAGCAACGCCGCGUGCGAGAUGACUGCCUUCGGGUUGUAAACCGCUUUCGCCUGUGACGAAGCGUGAGUGACGGGAAUGGGUAAAGAAGCACCGGCUACCUACUU
rnacentral:rRNA from 1 species